rnacentral:rRNA from 1 species
AGUCGACGAUGAAUCUUCUAGCUUGCUAGAAGUGGAUUAGUGGCGCACGGGUGAGUAAUGCAUAGGUUAUGUGCCCUUUAGUCUGGGAUAGCCACUGGAAACGGUGAUUAAUACUGGAUACUCCCUACGGGGGAAAGUUUUUCGCUAAAGGAUCAGCCUAUGUCCUAUCAGCUUGUUGGUGAGGUAAUGGCUCACCAAGGCUAUGACGGGUAUCCGGCCUGAGAGGGUGAUCGGACACACUGGAACUGAGACACGGUCCAGACUCCUACGGGAGGCAGCAGUAGGGAAUAUUGCUCAAUGGGGGAAACCCUGAAGCAGCAACGCCGCGUGGAGGAUGAAGGUUUUAGGAUUGUAAACUCCUUUUGUUAGAGAAGAUUAUGACGGUAUCUAACGAAUAAGCACCGGCUAACUCCGUGCCAGCAGCCGCGGUAAUACGGAGGGUGCAAGCGUUACUCGGAAUCACUGGGCGUAAAGAGUGCGUAGGCGGGGUAAUAAGUCAGAUGUGAAAUCCUGUAGCUUAACUACAGAACUGCAUUUGAAACUGUUACUCUGGAGUGUGGGAGAGGUAGGUGGAAUUCUUGGUGUAGGGGUAAAAUCCGUAGAGAUCAAGAGGAAUACUCAUUGCGAAGGCGACCUGCUGGAACAUUACUGACGCUGAUGCACGAAAGCGUGGGGAGCAAACAGGAUUAGAUACCCUGGUAGUCCACGCCCUAAACGAUGGAUGCUAGUUGUUGCCUUGCUUGUCAGGGCAGUAAUGCAGCUAACGCAUUAAGCAUCCCGCCUGGGGAGUACGGUCGCAAGAUUAAAACUCAAAGGAAUAGGCGGGGACCCGCACAAGCGGUGGAGCAUGUGGUUUAAUUC